rnacentral:rRNA from 1 species
GACGAACCGUGCUAACGUUGUUCGGAAUCACUGGGCUUAAAGGGCGCGUAGGCGGGCAUGCAAGUCAGGGGUGAAAGCCCACGGCUCAACCGUGGAAGUGCCUUUGAUACUGCGUGUCUUGAGCGAGGUAGGGGCGUGCGGAACUUCCGGUGGAGCGGUGAAAUGCGUAGAUAUCGGAAGGAACACCGGUGGCGAAAGCGGCGCGCUGGGCCUCUUCUGACGCUGAGGCGCGAAAGCCAGGGGAGCAAACGGG